rnacentral:tRNA from 1 species
GGGCUCUUAGCUCAGUCCGGUAGAGCACUCGCAUGGCAUGCGAGGGGCCGCGGGUUCAAAUCCCGCAGAGUCCA